rnacentral:rRNA from 1 species
GAUUAACGCUGGCGGCGUGCAUAACACAUGCAAGUCGAACGAUGAAACUCAUUAGAUUUCUUCGGAAUGAAAAUGAAUGGAUUAGUGGCGAACGGGUAAGUAACGCGUGAGUAACCUGCCUUACACAAGGGGAUAGCCUCUGGAAACGGAGAAUAAUACCCUAUGAAACCAGACAAUCGCAUGAUAAUCUGGUCAAAAUGUUUAGUGGUGUAAGAUGGACUUGCGUCUGAUUAGCUAGUUGGUGAGAUAAAAGCUCACCAAGGCAACGAUCAGUAGCCGGCUUGAGAGAGUGUACGGCCACAUUGGGACUGAGACACGGCCCAGACUCCUACGGGAGGCAGCAGUGGGGAAUUUUGCACAAUGGGGGAAACCCUGAUGCAGCGACGCCGCGUGAUUUAGAAGGCCUUCGGGUUGUAAAAAUCUUUUGUAUAGGAAGAAAAUGACAGUACUAUACGAAUAAGGUCCGGCUAAUUACGUG